UCGACCACUCGUCGUAUUCGUCUGCUUCGGUCGGUGGCGUUGCGCUGCUUAGCAUAUGCGAUGUUUCCGUUGUGCGCUUUCCACACAAGUGAAACAGCAAUCGUGCUUCGUCGUUUCUGAGGGUGCGGCAACCGAAGUGACGACUCGACGUCUUCCUAAAGCGGCCGAAAAGGCCGACAACGAAGCAGGCGACAGCCGGCGCAUGCGCCCAGGCGUUUUCUCAUCCUGAUGCCGGAGGAAUGCCGAGAACGGACUCGGCGUUGUUGCUUCUGUUUUGAGAGAACUUGACGUACCGACGGACCUUUCGCUUCAAGUGUACAAUCUUCCCGAGUGGUGCAACGUGUGCUCGUGGGAGCCCUCGUCAAGCGACAGCCGAAGCGCCGAACCUCGUCUGCUGGACAUCCUCAAGUUUACAGCGUACGAAACAAAACGAGCAUGCGUCCUGCGGCGCAGCCCCUGGGGCCCCAGCAGCCGAGCCGUGGUGGGCGCUGAGCGUGGUCAUCGCCGCCGCCUUUGUCACCACGGCUGCCCCCUGCAGGCCCCUGCCGGCCGCAGGCACGGACCGACCGUCGUCGGGGCGCCUUGCCGCUGCUGCCGCGGCCGCCG